AACAUAUAUAAGCACAUAAUAAAACAGACUGAACUAACAUUACAGAUCCAUGAAGAAUGUUCGUAAUACAAAAAAUCUGCUCCUGUGGAAAUCGUUUGGAUUUGGCUAAAAGAUCCUUGUUCUAAAUCAAAAGAAGACAAGCAGAAUUAGCUUCCAUGAUGGAGAGGAAACGAGCAAUUUUCUGAGUACUUUUCUUGGAACUGACAUUCUUUUAGUUCUAUGGUGAAUUCACUUGGCUUCUUUCUAUAUGAGCACAGUCUGGGAGCCUGGCUCCCCAUAUACACUAAUCCAGGACCCUGUACCCUCUACAUACAGAGAGAGGGGGACUGUUUAAUGUCUCCUACAGACUGAACACACAGCGUGCUGAAACCAUCUCAAUACAGACUGACGUCAAC